rnacentral:rRNA from 1 species
GACGAAGGAUGCAAGCGUUAUCCGGAUUCAUUGGGCUUAAAGGGAGCGUAGGUGGUCUUAUAAGUCAGUGGUGAAAUCUCGCAGCUUAACUGCGAAACUGCCAUUGAUACUGUAGGACUUGAGUAUAGUUGCUGUGGGCGGAAUAUGACAUGUAGUGGUGAAAUACUUAGAGAUGUCAUAGAACACCGAUUGCGAAGGCAGCUCACAGAACUAUAACUGACACUGAGGCUCGAAAGUGCGGGGAGCAAACAGG